CAAUAGCGUAUAUUAAAGUUGUUGCAGUUAAAAAGCUCGUAGUUGGAUUUCUGGUUGAAGCGACCGGUCGGGCGUUGAUUCGUCUGCACUGGAGUCGGUUUUGGCCAUCCUCUAGGAAAGUGCGUCUGGUAUUAAGUUAUCGGGCGUAUGAUCCUGGUCUUUUACUGUGAAAAAAUUAGAGUGUUUAAAGCAGGCCUUCGCCUUGAAUACAUUAGCAUGGAAUAAUAAGAUAGGACUUUGGUCUAUUUUGUUGGUUUGCAGACCGAAGUAAUGAUUAAUAGGGAUAGUUGGGGGUAUUUAUAUUCCGAUGUCAGAGGUGAAAUUCUUAGAUGUUCGGAAGAUAAACUUAUGCGAAAGCAUUUACCAAGGAUGUUUUCAUUAA
rnacentral:rRNA from 1 species